rnacentral:rRNA from 1 species
GAUGAACGCUGGCGGCGUGCUUAACACAUGCAAGUCGAACGAAGCACCUGGAUUUGAUUCUUCGGAUGAAGAUCCUUGUGACUGAGUGGCGGACGGGUGAGUAACGCGUGGGUAACCUGCCUCAUACAGGGGGAUAACAGUUAGAAAUGACUGCUAAUACCGCAUAAGACCACAAAGCCGCAUGGCUUAGUGGGAAAAACUCCGGUGGUAUGAGAUGGACCCGCGUCUGAUUAGGUAGUUGGUGGGGUAACGGCCUACCAAGCCGACGAUCAGUAGCCGACCUGAGAGGGUGACCGGCCACAUUGGGACUGAGACACGGCCCAAACUCCUACGGGAGGCAGCAGUGGGGAAUAUUGCACAAUGGGGGAAACCCUGAUGCAGCGACGCCGCGUGAGCGAAGAAGUAUUUCGGUAUGUAAAGCUCUAUCAGCAGGGAAGAAAAUGACGGUACCUGACUAAGAAGCACCGGCUAAAUACGUGCCAGCAGCCGCGGUAAUACGUAUGGUGCAAGCGUUAUCCGGAUUUACUGGGUGUAAAGGGAGCGUAGACGGCUGUGUAAGUCUGAAGUGAAAGCCCGGGGCUCAACCCCGGGACUGCUUUGGAAACUAUGCAGCUAGAGUGUCGGAGGGGUAAGUGGAAUUCCCAGUGUAGCGGUGAAAUGCGUAGAUAUUGGGAGGAACACCAGUGGCGAAGGCGGCUUACUGGACGAUGACUGACGUUGAGGCUCGAAAGCGUGGGGAGCAAACAGGAUUAGAUACCCUGGUAGUCCACGCCGUAAACGAUGACUACUAGGUGUCGGGGAGCAAAGCUCUUCGGUGCCGCAGCAAACGCAAUAAGUAGUCCACCUGGGGAGUACGUUCGCAAGAAUGAAACUCAAAGGAAUUGACGGGGACCCGCACAAGCGGUGGAGCAUGUGGUUUAAUUCGAAGCAACGCGAAGAACCUUACCUGCUCUUGACAUCCCGGUGACCGGCAUGUAAUGAUGCCUUUUCUUCGGAGCACCGGUGACAGGUGGUGCAUGGUUGUCGUCAGCUCGUGUCGUGAGAUGUUGGGUUAAGUCCCGCAACGAGCGCAACCCUUAUCUUCAGUAGCCAGCAUUUCGGGUGGGCACUCUGGAGAGACUGCCAGGGAUAACCUGGAGGAAGGUGGGGAUGACGUCAAAUCAUCAUGCCCCUUAUGAGCAGGGCUACACACGUGCUACAAUGGCGUAAACAAAGGGAAGCAAACCUGCGAGGGUAAGCAAAUCUCAAAAAUAACGUCUCAGUUCGGAUUGUAGUCUGCAACUCGACUACAUGAAGCUGGAAUCGCUAGUAAUCGCGAAUCAGCAUGUCGCGGUGAAUACGUUCCCGGGUCU